UUUGUUCUGGAAGAACUCGUCCGACCAAAAAAAAAAAAAACAAUAGUGAUACGCUGGAUUAAUAAUCUGCCAUCGCCUAUUUUUUUUAAGGUCGACUUAAAUUCUCUGCUUUACGUCAUGGAGUAAUGUUCGAAUUUUAUGGUAUAUAUUAAGUUGGUGCGGAAAAAUAUGACCGUGGUAGAUUUGUAAGCGAAAUUUCUGUCAUUUCAGUCGAUAAAUUAUUGUCUGAUCGGAUGGUAUUUAUAUUAUUUGGCAAUAUUUUGUAUUUUAUAGUUUGUGUAGCUGUUUAUGUUGUUUGAAUUUUAAGAAAUCAAAGUAAAUUAAUUCAGAUGUAUUUGGUAUAUAUUCUGUCCUUCUAUAUGCCGGUAUUAUCCACCGAAAAUGUUUCCGGAGAUCUCUCUCGUCUAAAUUAUCCAGUGGUGAUGGCUGGUGUGGCGAUUUAUUCUAUCGAACUGCGCCCACACUGGCGCUGAUUGCGCCUGUUAUAUUGCCCAACGUUCGUAUUCGAUUGUGUACUAUUAGGCAAUACUUUGUCGGUAAAUGGCUUUAUUACCGGCAUUUAAUGAGAUUUUCGCUUUCUAAGUUUGAUUUUUUCUCUCCUGUUAGAGAAUUAGUUAUCGGAAUUACGAUACGCGUAAGAAUUAUUUUCCUUAUACCAACUUUCGCUUUAUGUAUCGACAGACUAUAAAUACUUCCAUAAAUUGUUUUCUUAAUGGUCGUUGUCACCGUGAAGGCCGAAAAAAUCCUGGUACUUCCAACUGUGGGUAUUUCAAAUGUUUAGACACGAGAUAUAAUAUUAAAUUUAAUCGUUUUUAUUUAAUUAUAUUAAGCAAAAAAAUUUUAAUGCGGCAAAUGUUAAACCUGUAUUGCAGUAAUUUCGUACUCGUGUAGUAUUGUUGACAUGCACUCUUGUCCAGACAAUCGAAUUAUUUAUUCAAUUCGUAUAUGAAAAUUUAAAGGAAAUUAUUUUUUCCCUCUGGUUGAGGAAUUUUUUACCAUGUUUUCGCUUAGUCUCGGCCUAAUUUAUGUCUAAAUAUGUGUAACUGACAUAAAAUUAUAAAUUAAAAUACAAAUAUUAACUACAUAUAAUAUAUAUACAGGGUGUUUCGAAAUUAUGUAUUUACUAGUAAUAUAUACG
rnacentral:lncRNA from 1 species